rnacentral:sRNA from 12 species
CAAGCACUUUGAAAAAUUGCGUAACUCAGUGCAGAGCGAAUGCCAUUGUGCUGAGGCACCGUAGGGUUAAUCUCGUAAAGCGGCUAAGCAACUCCUUGGGAUACUUAGGAGCGAAGCAAAAUUCCUUUUUGGUGACAAAUUGGAACUACUUCCUUAAAUGAGGGAGUGCCGUGGGGCGGUGGCGCAAAUUAUAUUCUCAAGUUAGGACGAUGUCUUGUCGCUUCCAUAAUAGACGCCCCUGUGGGGAAUAAUCCUUGUUAGGUGAUUGGGUGGCACCAAUUACAAACCAAGGAAUGCCAAUAAGGAAGUUCGCGGUGACGCCUUAGAAAUAAGGCUAUAAGACAAGGUCGGUGCACAAGUAGCCCAAAGCGCGAAGAAUUUCUAAUGUUUGAUUAAGAAUGGUAUUUUGAACCAUUAUUGCUGAAAACUCUGAAUGGUGGGUGAAAGUUGCGGGUAAUCAAUCCCGUCCGAGAUUAAAGGUGAAGAACCUGUGCCCGUGGAAAACGGGUGGGGCAAGAAGUUAUGGGGUCGCUCCCUAUGGCUCAGACUUGUUUCCUCGGUAGUCUAAUAAACAGAGAAUAUAAUGUUGUAGAGCGAAGGUUCACGCAAUUUUUCAAAAUGUA